UACGUAGGGUGCAAGCGUUAAUCGGAAUUACUGGGCGUAAAGCGUGCGCAGGCGGUCCGUUAAGACAGAUGUGAAAUCCCCGGGCUUAACCUGGGAACUGCAUUUGUGACUGCACGGCUGGAGUGCGGCAGAGGGGGAUGGAAUUCCGCGUGUAGCAGUGAAAUGCGUAGAUAUGCGGAGGAACACCGAUGGCGAAGGCAAUCCCCUGGGCCUGCACUGACGCUCAUGCACGAAAGCGUGGGGAGCAAACAGG
rnacentral:rRNA from 1 species